rnacentral:rRNA from 1 species
UACACAUGCAGUCGACGGUAACAGGAAUCAGCUUGCUGAUUUGCUGACGAGUGGCGGACGGGUGAGUAAUGUCUGGGAAACUGCCUGAUGGAGGGGGAUAACUACUGGAAACGGUAGCUAAUACCGCAUAACGUCGCAAGACCAAAGAGGGGGACCUUCGGGCCUCUUGCCAUCGGAUGUGCCCAGAUGGGAUUAGCUAGUAGGUGGGGUAACGGCUCACCUAGGCGACGAUCCCUAGCUGGUCUGAGAGGAUGACCAGCCACACUGGAACUGAGACACGGUCCAGACUCCUACGGGAGGCAGCAGUGGGGAAUAUUGCACAAUGGGCGCAAGCCUGAUGCAGCCAUGCCGCGUGUAUGAAGAAGGCCUUCGGGUUGUAAAGUACUUUCAGCGGGGAGGAAGGGAGUAAAGUUAAUACCUUUGCUCAUUGACGUUACCCGCAGAAGAAGCACCGGCUAACUCCGUGCCAGCAGCCGCGGUAAUACGGAGGGUGCAAGCGUUAAUCGGAAUUACUGGGCGUAAAGCGCACGCAGGCGGUUUGUUAAGUCAGAUGUGAAAUCCCCGGGCUCAACCUGGGAACUGCAUCUGAUACUGGCAAGCUUGAGUCUCGUAGAGG